rnacentral:rRNA from 1 species
AAGCUCGUAGUUGAAUUUCGGGAUUAGUACGUCGGUCGUGCCUUAGGUACGUACUGGUGUUACUGGUUCCUACCUUCUGACGAACCAUCAUGUCACUAAUUUGGUGUGGUGGGGAAUCAGGACUGUUACUUUGAAAAAAUUAGAGUGUUUAAAGCAGGCUCGCGCUUGAAUACAUUAGCAUGGAAUAAUGAAAUAGGACGUUGAUCCUAUUUUGUUGGUUUCUAGGAUUGACGUAAUGAUUAAUAGGGAUAGUUGGG